UAUCUACUCCCUCCGUCCAGAAAUACUUGUCAUCAAAAUGGAUAAAAGGAGAUGUAUCUAGACGCAUUUUAGUUCUAGAUACAUCUUUUUUUGUCCAUUUUGAUGACACGUAUUUCUGGAUGGAGGGAGUAUUUC
rfam:Triticum aestivum genome assembly, contig: Triticum_aestivum_CS42_TGACv1_scaffold_271687_3DS